GCGCCAGAUCCUGGAGCUUACGAAGCUUUAACCUCCUUCAAGGCUAAUCGUGAUCGAUGCGACUUCCUCUGCCGACGUUUGGCUCCACCCUUCCUUUCGAGUGCCCGUCGUGUUCUCGAGAUUACCAAAGGAAUCGAUAUGACAGUACCAGCUUCGACACAUUAUACCAUCCUGUAUGACAUAUCAAAAGGAGUCAAGGGAGGUGUGAUAUCGUAUUCACGACGUGAUAAGGAGAAGAGAACGAAGAUACCUGGACCCCAGUACUAUUGUAACAAAUUCAACGCACGAACGAAAAGAUUACAAAUAUCCGUCUAUUUAUUUUCGUUUUGGAGAAAAAACGGUGAAAAAUGGUGGAGUUAAAAAGCAACGCGUAUCUCUAUGAUCAAAAAAGU